ensembl:lncRNA
GAAACAGUCAAUAAACUAAGAAACAAAAGCCUAACUAGAACGGUGUCCAUCAUUGUCAAAUCUGUUUCUUUAUUUUGGCCAAAGUUUCCUUAACCUGUAAACUUCCUGGCUUGUUAGACCAGACUGAACUUUAGACAACCUGUAUAUCCUGAAAAAAUGACUCUGAGUUCAUCCUCUUUAUGUUUUUUGUUUCCUGUAAUAACUUUUUAACAGCCACAGCAGGAUACAACUUGUCUUUGGUUUCUGACCUCUGAGUACAAAACAAGUCACUCUGAUCAGACAACAUGCUCUCACUGUCACUGUCAUCAGAAAGCCUGGUUCUUCUACCCAGCUGGCUGAUUCUCUGUCUUCUAGUCUUAGCGCCAACUUCUGCACCAGCUUUAUCCACAUUUGUUUUCUUACUGUGCCGUUUUAAUGGAGGUGCAGGAUCCUCGUAGCAUGGUCCACCUCACCAAUCUGAACAACUCAAGCAUCAAUAAUUUCAUCAUUUGGACUCACUUUUAUCAUAUUUCCCUCUUCCUCACAGCCAAAGCACUUCAUAACAGUGGACACUGCAAAAAAAAUGUAAUCAUAAUCUUCCAGUCUGACACGAAAGUGCAGCUUAAGCUCAUCUGAUUAAUUGUGAAGAAUCAUAAACACCUGGUGUCUAUAAGAGAUGGAAUGACUAAGUAAGGGUGAUUUGCAACCAGACAAAACUUUCUUAAUGGAAGACAAAACUUUCAACACAACACAAACGUCUUGAAAGCUCGCAUCUCUGAAAUUCAUCGCUUAUAAAUGGGGGCACAUUAGAAAGAGUGAUCAAGUAGCAGGCUGUCCCAGCAGAACAACUGACACAAAAGCUCCCCCAACAGCGACCCCUUCCUCGACUAGCCUAUUAAUCCGAUCUACCUUCUCAACAAACAGGACCACAGCUCUGUUCAGCGCCCACAGUCAAAGCAACCUCCUCCACCACACGCAGAAAACAUUAACCCUGAUGUCAUGCUUUCGUGUCAGCAUGGAAAAGCAACCUGUACUAACCAUGGUGUUUAGACACCAAGUGGCCAAAAACUUUACUAAAAAACCCACAAAAUAAUGAAACAAAACCAACUGAUGAGGAAAAAAAAACAAAUAAAAAAACUAGGAAAGAAGGAAGUAUGGAAAAAUACAGCUACACAGAUCAGACACCCUCUUGCAGUUCAGACCUUUCAAAGUCAAAGUCAAAGUCAGCUUUACUGUCAAAAACCAUAUAUACAGUUCAUACACAGGAAUCAGAUAUUGCAGUGCUCACAUGGCCCUCAGUGUUACAGGCCAUGAGAUGUAAGAUGUAAAUAAGGUAGUCCAACAAGUGCCACUCUAGAAGUCUCCAGAAGUUUACUGGCUGGUCAUAAAAUGUCGGGGGAAUGUCACAGUUGUAAAUAUGGUUCUAUCACAACUUUUUUUGUUUUCC